GACGAACGCUGGCGGCGUGCUUAACACAUGCAAGUCGAACGGAAAGGCCCUGCUUUUGUGGGGUGCUCGAGUGGCGAACGGGUGAGUAACACGUGAGUAACCUGCCCUUGACUUUGGGAUAACUUCAGGAAACUGGGGCUAAUACCGGAUAGGAGCUCCUGCUGCAGGGUGGGGGUUGGAAAGUUUCGGCGGUUGGGGAUGGACUCGCGGCUUAUCAGCUUGUUGGUGGGGUAGUGGCUUACCAAGGCUUUGACGGGUAGCCGGCCUGGGAGGGUGACCGGCCACAUUGGGACUGAGAUACGGCCCAGACUCCUACGGUAGGCAGCAGUGGGGAAUAUUGCACAGUGGGCGGAAGCCUGAUGCAGCAACGCCGCGUGCGGGAUGACGGCCUUCGGGUUGUAAACCGCUGCCGCCUGUGACGAAGCGUGAGUGACGGUAAUGGGUAAAGAAGCACCGGCUAACUACGUG
rnacentral:rRNA from 1 species